rnacentral:lncRNA from 1 species
UUAUCUUCUAAGAUGCGAGUUCCACUUACUUAACCUCCCCCUCCAACCAGCCCUCAGUACCACCACUGAAACUACCAGGAUACAUAUCCACCACAAUAAGAAAGUAAAGGAGAAAAACUAGACAUGGGAUCCAACCCAAGAGAGAAGUGAAGUAUUUUCCUAGAACUACGGCAGUGGGAAAUUCCAGGAUGAUGCUUAUGUACCAGCCUAGAGAGCAACUAGUCUGGACUGGAGCAGAAAGAAGGCUUCAGGAGGGAUACCCCAAGACAAGAUCGAAACUGACAGAUUAUCUAGCCUGCAUUACCAUAUUGAGAGGGAUGUAGUUCUAACAGACCAUUUAAGGAAGAAAACCUAACAAACAAAAUAUAAGGCAAUGAUUAGGUCCCAAAAAAUUAAAGUGUGAUAAUAGUAUAUCAUAUAGCUUAAUUACAAAGAAAAUUUACAUCAUCAUGUAAACAUCAAUUAUUCACUUAAUCUAAAUGUUAUCUCAGGGAAGCUGGAACAGGAUAGUGAAGGGCCUCAGGAGAUGUAUAGUGUUCAUGACGAAUCUUAUAAUACUAUGUGACUUUUCAAACUAUGUAUAUGUUUGACUUUGAUAAAAAUUAAGAAAAAAUAUGGCUUUGCAAAAAACAUUCCAUCAUGUAUGAUUUUUCAGUGCUGUCUAAAAUGCCUAUACAAUUAUUGCUCCAACAAGUGACAGAACAACAGUUUUCAACUUUUUUUCCACUGGGAUACACAUGACAAGUGAUAUUUCCAUGUGAUAUAAUCCUAUGGAUGUUCCCAUUGUGCUAAACUUAACAUGAUGUUUCUCUCAUGCUUAAGAAAUUAUACCAGAAUACAAGUGACUAAGAAAGAGUAUUUUAGGAUAAAUUUGAACAGUGUUUAGUGUGUCAAGAGUUUAACAUUCACAAAUAUCCCUACUUCAGCUACUCUUAGUAAGUAGUUGACAUACCUCAGGACUGAUCUCAAUACACUCAUAUAUCAUAAUGUUGAGUUUGAGAACCGCUGGGGUACAACAGGAUUCCCAAAUUCAGAUGCCUACAACAGCCAGGUGUUGGCUAAGCCUCAGCCUUUGCAGUAACUGUGGUGGUAAUUGCUCCGACACCGAAAGGACUUUUGUUUGUCUUUGUCCAGAAUGCAGUGACACCAAGCUGAGAACUGACAUCCACCAAGUGAAUGGGGAAGAAGGGGCAGGCUUGGAGUUGAAGUGGCCCAGUAGAGUUCAAAGAGAUCAUUGGCACUGAAGUUACGAGUGAAGGGUCUUAGUUGUCACAUUUAAGAAGCCAUUUAGGAAAACUUUUAAGCAGCUAAGAACAAAGGCUUUUGGACUUGAAAAACCCCAAUCCAGACACCUUCGUCCUUCCUGGCUGCAGGAUCCUGUGCACGUUGAGCUCUUUGAAUCUGCUCCUGUGUCAGCAGAUUUUAGGAUUCUCUCUUAUAAAGUGGUAAAGGUUCUACCUCCCAAAAUGGAUGCUGUUGGUCAUAUCAUUUCGCAGUGCACACUGCCGCAUCUGUUCAUUCAUCUGAGCAGCGUUUCUAACCUAUGAAUGCAUCAACAGGAACAGAAAAUAAUUCUAGAACACUGAUAUUAAUAACAACAACAAAAAAACCCUGAAAUAAUAAUUGAGAAGUCUGAAAAUAAACCUGCUCUUUUCUCAAGGAACUGCUGGCGGCAAGCUGUAUAAACUACGUAUUUAUCAUUUUAUAUUUGCCUACAGUGACACCUGCUGGAAAACUCCGUUGAAGCCUUAAAAUGAAAAUAAAUUUAAAAUAAAAUAAAAACCAAGCUUUGAAAACAA